UGGCAGCUCAAGGACAGAGCCUGGGACUUGUCCAGGCCUGCCCAAAAAUGAUAACUGUAACCUCCAACCAGUAAAUUCAAAGGUUACAUACCCUUACCCAAUCAUGUGAUGCCAAGGCUUGUACCACUCUGCUUGCGGUUUUUCCCUU